rnacentral:rRNA from 1 species
UACGUAGGGUGCAAGCGUUGUUCGGAUUUACUGGGCGUAAAGAGCUCGUAGGUGGUUUGUCGCGUUGUCCGUGAAAACUCACAACUCAAUUGUGGGCGUGCGGGCGAUACGGGCAGACUGGAGUACUGCAGGGGAGACUGGAAUUCCUGGUGUAGCGGUGGAAUGCGCAGAUAUCAGGAGGAACACCGGUGGCGAAGGCGGGUCUCUGGGCAGUAACUGACGCUGAGGAGCGAAAGCGUGGGGAGCGAACAGG